UCAAUUAUAUAUAUUUAUAUUCAUAAACCUCAGACAGUAUAGCUGUAAAAGUGUAUUACAAAUCUUUGGAAAAAAAUUUAGGGAGACCAUGCUAUGCUAAGCUAUACAGUUGGACCAACACAAAAUAUCUCUGGGUCAACCAGUACAGCAAGACACAUGGACCACCACCCUCACGUGCACCAUAUUAAUAGUCAAUUGGUCAACAGUAUAGUCUAUGUAUGGGCUUCAACCUUCAGCCAAUUAGAAGCUAGCACCUGUGAGAACAAUGGAGAAGAGGAUGGGCAGCCAUACCAGCCAAGGGAGGUGGAUAUCAGAUAUUAGAUGGCAAGGAGAGUAGAGUAAGCAACUGCCAAGUUUCACUCGUCUCAGCUCUACCCAAAAUAGCCAGACCAAGCCCUCUUCUUCCCAGCAACACUAGCAUUCCCCUGUCCAAAACCAACAAAGAUCCAAGAACAAUAAGUGAAGAUGGUGACAUGAGAAAUCAUCAGUAGACUGAAGGGGACAGGCUAGAGCAAGAAGCUAGCCUACUGGACUGGGGUCUGGAGCGUAGGAGCAGCAAGAGUAGGGCCAACAGAGAGAACAGAAGAAGAAAGGUGAGUUCUUCCUCUUCUGCCAGUUCUUAGUACUCACAUACACAAAGAGGCCUAACCCAGAUUUACACACAAUAUUCCUCAAUGGAUUUUCACAGAUGCACAUAAAAGAUAAGCCAUCACAGUAGCAUCACAUCUCAGUUUAGGAAAUAAAAGUAUGAGGAAGAAAGGGGAUACAGCCUCAAAUAACUCAAAUAAAAGGGAUCAGGUUAUUGUACAGUAUCAGCACACCAUAAUCUUGAACAGGGAGUGAUGAACUUGUUCAACACACACAUGUGAGCCAAUUUAAUUUACUAAAUCUGAGAACUUGAACGUAAAAAUAAAAAAAAUAAAAAAAUUGGGAAGGGAACAAGGCAUCACUAACCUGCACAUAUGUUCGAUCUGCUCCAUGGCCACGCACUGGAGCUCUAACCUGCACCAUCCAGCAUUACGGCGACGCCCAACACCGACCACUUCAAUCCGGAGCAGGGAAAUCACAUCCCCAAUAGGGUUUGACCUGCAAGCCAAAAAGAACACACACACAGAGGGGGAUUAGAGAGUUGAGGCUGAAAUUCAUGGGGAUAAUAUGGGGAAUCACAUCAGGGGAGAGAGAGUGUGGAGGAUCUAGCAGCGGCAUCUUUCCCGUCGCUGGCGGCGGCGCCGAUCUGGGGAAGGAGCAGAGGAG
rnacentral:lncRNA from 1 species